UCCAGACUCCUACGGGAGGCAGCAGUAGGGAAUAUUGCUCAAUGGGGGAAACCCUGAAGCAGCAACGCCGCGUGGAGGAUGAAGGUUUUCGGAUUGUAAACUCCUUUUGUUAGAGAAGAUAAUGACGGUAUCUAACGAAUAAGCACCGGCUAACUCCGUGCCAGCAGCCGCGGUAAUACGGGGGGUGCAAGCGUUGUCCGGAAUCAUUGGGCGUAAAGCGUUCGUAGGCGGCAAGGUAAGUCUGAUGUUAAAGCCCGGGGCUCAACUCCGGUUCGGCAUUGGAUACUAUCUAGCUAGAAUGUGGUAGAGGUAAAGGGAAUUCCUGGUGUAGCGGUGAAAUGCGUAGAUAUCAGGAGGAACAUCGGCGGCGAAAGCGCUUUACUGGACCAUUAUUGACGCUGAGGAACGAAAGCCAGGGGAGCAAAUGGGAUUAGAUACCCGAGUAC
rnacentral:rRNA from 1 species